UGACACAGGUGCUGCAUGGCUGUCGUCAGCUCGUGUCGUGAGACUGUUGGGUUAAGUCCCGUAACGACGCGCAACCUUGUCCUUAGUUACCAGCACGUUAUGGUGGGCACUCUAAGGAGACUGCCGGUGACAAACCGGAGGAAGGUGGGGACGACGUCAAGUCAUCAUGGCCCUUAUGUCCUGGGCUACACACGUGCUACAAUGGCCGGUACAGAGCGCAGCGAAGCCGCGAGGCAAAGCGAAUCGCAAAAAGCCGGUCUCAGUACGGAUUGGAGUCUGAAACCCGACUCCAUGAAGUUGGAAUCGCUAGUAAUCGCGCAUCAGCAUGGCGCGGUGAAUACGUUCCCGGGCCUU
rnacentral:rRNA from 1 species